AUACUUACCUGCACGGGAGGUACCUUGAUCACCUUGAGGUCCUUCCAGGGCGAGGCCUGUCCAUUGCACUAAGGGCGGGUUGACCCCUGCGAUCACCCAAAUGUGGGUGACUCGAGUGCGUAAUUUUAUUCGUAAGGGGGACUUGCGUUCGCGCUAUUCCUGU
rnacentral:snRNA from 1 species